rnacentral:rRNA from 1 species
UUAUGUACAUAACUACAACAUAGCGUUAAUGCACUGGAUCCCAUUAGAACUCCACAGUUAAGUGUUCUCAGGCUAGAGUAGUACUAGGAUGGGUGACCGCCCGGGAACUCCUAGUGUUUUACAUGCC